rnacentral:tRNA from 1 species
GGGGCUAUAGCUCAGUUGGGAGAGCGUCUGAAUGGCAUUCAGAAGGUCUGGAGUUCGAGCCUCCAUAGCUCCA